rnacentral:rRNA from 1 species
AUUGAACGCUGGCGGCAUGCCUUACACAUGCAAGUCGAACGGUAACGCGGGGCAACCUGGCGACGAGUGGCGAACGGGUGAGUAAUGCAUCGGAACGUGCCCAGUAGUGGGGGAUAGCCCGGCGAAAGCCGGAUUAAUACCGCAUACGACCUACGGGUGAAAGCGGGGGACCGUAAGGCCUCGCGCUAUUGGAGCGGCCGAUGUCAGAUUAGGUAGUUGGUGGGGUAAAGGCCUACCAAGCCUUCGAUCUGUAGCUGGUCUGAGAGGACGACCAGCCACACUGGGACUGAGACACGGCCCAGACUCCUACGGGAGGCAGCAGUGGGGAAUUUUGGACAAUGGGCGCAAGCCUGAUCCAGCCAUGCCGCGUGCGGGAAGAAGGCCUCGGUUGU